UACGUAGGGUGCGAGCGUUAAUCGGAAUUACUGGGCGUAAAGCGUGCGCAGGCGGUUUUGUAAGACAGGCGUGAAAUCCCCGGGCUCAACCUGGGAAUUGCGCUUGUGACUGCAAGGCUGGAGUACGGCAGAGGGGGAUGGAAUUCCGCGUGUAGCAGUGAAAUGCGUAGAUAUGCGGAGGAACACCAAUGGCGAAGGCAAUCCCCUGGGCCUGUACUGACGCUCAUGCACGAAAGCGUGGGGAGCAAACAGG
rnacentral:rRNA from 1 species